GGAAGGCUGUUAAAUAAUUGUUUAUGGGAAGAACAAUGUACAACAUUUUAGCUCUGCUAAUUAUCUAGAUCAAUGUAGAACUGGAGCCUCACUUUGGAACACUCCCAUAUUAUUCUGCAGGUUUAUUUUCAAACAACUCAAUGUUCCAGAGAUGAGAAGGGAAAAUUGUGAUACCACAGAGGCCUGGAUACCUGGGACAACAUCUUGCAUAAUGAAAAGUAUAAUUACAAACACAGUGGAAUGAUUUUCGUUUGACUCAAUUCCGGCAACAGUUAGAAAAAGAACAAAAUAUUGCAAAUUCUGGAAACCUGAAGUAAAACACAAAAAGCUGGAAAUAAACAGCAGAUGAAAACUGACCUACUGUAGCUGAGAGAAAAGGGAGCCAGGUGAUGGGGAGAGCAUAAGGUCAAGGAUAGCCUCAAGGUUUGGCAAUGACUUCCUGUGAACCUUCCUCCAGGCUGUAAGUGAACAGCAGGAGGUGCUCAUUCCUGCUGACAGGAAGAGGAGACCUCCCAGCCUGACCAAAGCAGCCUGGACAGAUGUUGCAGCAGAGGUGAGCAACUUUGGGUCAUCCAACGAACCUGGCUUCAGUACCGGAAAUCCCUCAAUGACCUUCUCAGAUCUGCAAGGGAAAAGAGGCACAAUGCCAAGAAGAGAAGCAAAACUGGAGGCGGUGUGUCAAACCUGGCCAAUUAAACUCUCAUCGAGGAGGAGGUGCUACAAUUGGCUGCCAAUGAGUGGAGCUGAGCUGUUGGUUGAGACAAGAUAGGAGGAAGACCCCAGGGUGGUGCAACAUUGGCUGCUGCUGCUGCCACUAGCUCCUGUGGUCCCACAUUGACCUAUGAGGAGGAAGAGGAAACCAGAGGGUGCAACAUCAUAGCCUUGCUCUGCACCCAGCAGCAGCAUAGAUACUUGCACUUCAAUGGGUAAUGGCAUCUCAGACAUACGGGAACCACAAACAGGUGAGGACGCAUCAUGGUGACACAUGCCGCUGCCGGAAACUGAGAUGGAGCAGACCUCUGGCAGUCAGAGGAGUGCUAGAGGCAAUCAAGAUUCUGAGCCCCAGUCUG